rnacentral:rRNA from 1 species
GCAGUGGGGAAUAUUGCACAAUGGACGAAAGUCUGAUGCAGCAACGCCGCGUGAGGGACGAAGGCCUUCGGGUUGUAAACCUCUUUUAGCAGGGAAGAAGCGAAAGUGACGGUACCUGCAGAAAAAGCACCGGCUAACUACGUGCCAGCAGCCGCGGUAAUACGUAGGGUGCAAGCGUUGUCCGGAAUUAUUGGGCGUAAAGAGCUCGUAGGCGGUUUGUCGCGUCUGCUGUGAAAUUUCGAGGCUCAACCUCGAACUUGCAGUGGGUACGGGCAGGCUAGAGUGCAGUAGGGGAGAUGGGAAUUCCUGGUGUAGCGGUGGAAUGCGCAGAUAUCAGGAGGAACACCAAUGGCGAAGGCACAUCUCUGGGCUGUAACUGACGCUGAGGAGCGAAAGCGUGGGGAGCGAACAGGAUUAGAUACCCUGGUAGUCCACGCCGUAAACGGUGGGUGCUAGCUGUGGGCCACAUUCCACGUGGUCCGUGACGAAGUUAACACAUUAAGCACCCCGCCUGGGGAGUACGGCCGCAAGGCUAAAACUCAAAGGAAUUGACGGGGGCCCGCACAAGCGGCGGAGCAUGCGGAUUAAUUCGACGCAACGCGAAGAACCUUACCAAGGCUUGACAUAUACAGGAAAAGCGUAGAAAUACGCUCCCCGCAAGGUCUGUAUACAGGUGGUGCAUGGUUGUCGUCAGCUCGUGUCGUGAGAUGUUGGGUUAAGUCCCGCAACGAGCGCAACCCUCGUCCUAUGUUGCCAGCACGUAAUGGUGGGAACUCAUGGGAUACUGCCGGGGUCAACUCGGAGGAAGGUGGGGAUGACGUCAAAUCAUCAUGCCCCUUAUGUCUUGGGCUUCACGCAUGCUACAAUGGCCGGUACAGAGGGCUGCAAUACCGUAAGGUGGAGCGAAUCCCAAAAAGCCGGUCUCAGUUCGGAUUGAGGUCUGCAACUCGACCUCAUGAAGUCGGAAUCGCUAGUAAUCGUAGAUCAGCAACGCUACGGUGAAUACGUUCCCGGGCCUUGUACACACCGCCCGUCAAGUCACGAAAGUCGAUAACACCCGAAGCCGGUGGCCUAACCGCAAGGAGGGAGCCGUCGAAGGUGGGAUUGGUAAUUGGGACUAAGUCGUAACAAGGUAGCCGUACCGGAAGGUGCGGCUG